CCCGGGAGAGGGAGGUUGCAGUGAGCCGAGAUCGUGCCACUGCACUCCAGACUGGAGUUUUUUCAAAAAAAAAAAACAACAACUCCGUCUUAAAAAAAAAAAAGAAAAAAGAAAAAAAAUCUUAUGUACACUAUAAAUAUAUACACCUACUAAGUGCCCACAGAAAUUGAAAACAAAGAAAAAAAUCCAUGAUUAAAAGCUUUUAUAUUAACGGGGGAACCUCUGAC
rnacentral:lncRNA from 10 species